CUGUUUCUCUCAAAGCUAUGUAGAAACUUUAAUUUGAUGCAAAAGUUUCCACAACUUCAGGCUUCUGCAAUGCUUGCUCUCUGUAAACUAACGAUCAUUGAUGCAGACUUUUGCGAAGCAAAUCUUCAACUUUUGUUCACUGUUCUGGAGAAUGCGCCAUCAGAAACUGUUCGAUCCAACUGC